UAGCAACGCAAGGGGUCAAGUGACACCAUCAGCUGACUCCGGUGGAGGAAGGCUCUGUGGUUACCUGUUCUGGAGGUGUUGCAGUCCGGAUUGUCCGGCCGGGGGCCCGAGCCGAAUCGCCGUCAGAAUGUCGGGCAAAGACCGGAUUGAAAUCUUCCCUUCGCGAAUGGCACAGACCAUCAUGAAGGCUCGAUUAAAAGGAGCACAGACUGGUCGAAACCUCCUGAAGAAAAAGUCUGAUGCCUUAACUCUUCGAUUUCGACAGAUCCUGAAGAAGAUAAUAGAGACUAAAAUGCUGAUGGGUGAAGUGAUGAGAGAAGCUGCCUUCUCAUUGGCUGAGGCCAAAUUCACAGCAGGGGACUUCAGCACCACAGUUAUCCAGAAUGUAAAUAAAGCCCAGGUGAAGAUUCGAGCAAAGAAAGACAAUGUAGCAGGUGUUACCUUACCAGUGUUUGAACAUUACCACGAAGGAACUGACAGCUAUGAACUGACCGGUUUAGCCAGAGGUGGGGAGCAGCUGGCUAAACUAAAGCGGAAUUAUGCCAAAGCAGUGGAACUACUGGUGGAACUGGCUUCCCUGCAGACUUCCUUUGUUACUUUGGAUGAAGCCAUUAAGAUAACCAACAGGCGUGUGAAUGCCAUUGAGCAUGUAAUCAUUCCCCGGAUUGAACGCACCCUUGCCUAUAUCAUCACAGAACUGGAUGAGAGAGAGCGAGAAGAAUUCUAUAGGUUAAAGAAAAUACAGGAGAAAAAAAAGAUUAUCAAGGAAAAAUUUGAGAAGGACUUGGAGCGUCGGAGAGCAGCUGGAGAGGUGAUGGAGCCUGCCAACCUGCUGGCUGAAGAGAAGGAUGAGGACCUGCUGUUCGAGUAGCUGCCCUCUUCUGCUCCUUUGAGACCCAGCAUCAGCUCCAUUUUAACUCAAUGUGUAGGUUCGAUCAUGUGGGAACACAAGGAGAAGAAAAGCAAAACAAGGUUUGGGUGGAAAAGAAGCACUCAAUUCUGGAACCUUGCAAAUGUCGAGCAGCUAAUGAGAGAAGUUUGCUGAGACCUUUGGAGUAGGGAGGAGGCGGCCCUGUCAGGUGUGUUUGGAGAGUAAAGGGGGUUAAGGCGUUCUGGAGGGGCUCAUCAAUCUGAGGUUAGCAGUAAGAGAUGUUUGGGGAAGACAGGAGCAGUCCUGUAAUAUGGAGAGCUGCCAUGGUUCAGCCAGCUGCAGCUGUGGCAGUUUUGGGACAAGUGACAGAAAGAAUAAUCAGCUUGAUGGCUGAUGCUGUACAGCUUCAAAGCUCCAGCAGCGGGAGCAGGGGAGGGCAGAGGCUUGCUUGAUGUCAGUGAUGACCUAGCACUAUGACAAGGGUACCUUUGGGUUCUUGCCUUCCUUGGCUAACAACGCCCGAAGUCUCUCUUGUGAAGGUGGUGCAAUGAAGAUGAUAUAUGGUUUCAAAUCUGAAUUCCGGAGGGUCUUCAAGGACUGUAACAAGGAUAUUUGGGUUAUUGAAAUAACUGCUAUCAUCAGACUACUUCUCAAUAAUAUAGAUUGCUAAGAUGUUUAUAAAUAAAUGUUUCCAAGCAUUUCAUCAUAAA